rnacentral:misc_RNA from 1 species
CAAACAAAGAAAAGAGAAGUAAAAUAACAUUAUUUUCAUGUGAUUGUAGCAGAGAAAUAAUUAAAGUAAUGGCCGUUACCGUUAUGUAAUGAUAAAUAACGGCCGUUACCGUUAUGUAACGAUCGUUAUACCUACAACUUGAAAUUUGCUUGUAAAUAGAGGUGUAUCGCGUAAUGAGCCCUUCCAAAAUAUAUAAAUAACGGUCAUUACGCAUUAUUUGAAACCAUGAUCUGUAAAUCUAAUGCUAUGGUGCCUUUGUACUGUUCACUGCACAGACCACAACCAACUCUCAAAUUUUAGUAAUGCCAUCGUUGCUAUAAAUAUUUUGUAUCUCACUUUGAGCAAUUUCCCAUCAAAAUUAUAUCCGAAAAACUCAAUCUCUUUGCUGCUAGAAAAUUUUGGCAACCUUGUUCUUUUAUUUCUGUCAACAGAACAUCCACAUCUUGUUUGUGAACCUCACAUGCAGAACUCCCAUUGAAUCCAGAAAUAUUAAUCCUUUCCUCUUUAUCUUACAGGAUUGGAGAUAGGCAACCUAAAAGAUUUUUAUAGAGAACGGUUGAUGGAUUUGUUUGGGCAUCCUAAGUUAUUGAAUGCAUGUUAGCACACCUACUUUUUUUUUACCCAAUUAAAAAUUAUUGCAACUAAUCUUUGAUCACGUCAGUCAACAACAGGCCUUGUACACAUGCAAACAUGCACCCUUCCUUAUGUGUGUAUUAUGAAUCUUCAUAGAUUAAAAUGACACAUAUCAGCUAUACAAAGUUACAUCAUACGAUAGUGUUCAUACAUUUUUUAUUUUUCUUUAUAUUUCAAUGUUAUUAUGAUGGUAGAGAGUUAUCUGGAAGUGAGUUGUCCUUGAUGUUAACAUGUGCCACGGAAUUAUGUUAUCGAGCUUUUAUGCAGGUUAUGAGUGAC